UAGAAUGAAUCUUGUAUUGGAUUGUAUAUGCUGAUUAUCUGUUGUGGACUAUCUAGUAAAGGCAAGGGCAAGUUAGAUCAGCCCUGACUGGAGAGCUCGGCGAGCGGAAUGUACAUAGCCAGGUGCUCGGCCGCCACGGUUGAGGUCUA